AGUAUGAUAACUGGGUCAAAUGGUAGUUCCCUUCCCAAUUUUCUGAGGAAUCUCCAUACUCCUUUCCAUAGUGGUUGUACCAAAUUUCAGACCCACAAGCAAU
rnacentral:pre_miRNA from 1 species